AGUGAACGCUGGCGGUAGGCCUAACACAUGCAAGUCGAACGGCGGCACAGUAAGAGCUUGCUCUUACGGGUGGCGAGUGGCGGACGGGUGAGGAAUACAUCGGAAUCGACUUUUUCGUGGGGGAUAACGUAGGGAAACUUACGCUAAUACCGCAUACGACCUACGGGUGAAAGCAGGGGAUCUUCGGACCUUGCGCGAUUGAAUGAGCCGAUGUCGGAUUAGCUAGUUGGCGGGGUGAAGGCCCACCAAGGCGACGAUCCGUAGCUGGUCUGAGAGGAUGAUCAGCCACACUGGAACUGAGACACGGUCCAGACUCCUACGGGAGGCAGCAGUGGGGAAUAUUGGACAAUGGGCGCAAGCCUGAUCCAGCCAUACCGCGUGGGUGAAGAAGGCCUUCGGGUUGUAAAGCCCUUUUGUUGGGAAAGAAAAGCAGCAGGUUAAUACCCCGCUGUUCUGACGGUACCCAAAGAAUAAGCACCGGCUAACUUCGUG
rnacentral:rRNA from 1 species